AUUGAACGCUGGCGGCAUGCUUUACACAUGCAAGUCGAACGGUAACAGGCCGCAAGGUGCUGACGAGUGGCGAACGGGUGAGUAAUGCAUCGGAACGUGCCCAGUCGUGGGGGAUAACGCAGCGAAAGCUGUGCUAAUACCGCAUACGAUCUGCGGAUGAAAGCGGGGGACCUUCGGGCCUCGCGCGAUUGGAGCGGCCGAUGUCAGAUUAGGUAGUUGGUGGGGUAAAGGCUCACCAAGCCAACGAACUGUAGCUGGUCUGAGAGGACGACCAGCCACACUGGGACUGAGACACGGCCCAGACUCCUACGGGAGGCAGCAGUGGGGAAUUUUGGACAAUGGGCGCAAGCCUGAUCCAGCAAUGCCGCGUGCAGGAAGAAGGCCUUCGGGUUGUGAACUGCUUUUGUACGGAGCGAAAAGGCUCCCUCUAAUACAGGGGGCUCAUGACGGUACCGUAAGAAUAAGCACCGGCUAACUACGUGCCAGCAGCCGCCGUAAAAC
rnacentral:rRNA from 1 species